AAAAAAAAAAAAAAGAAAAGAAUUAGACCACUGGACAAACCCAAACCAAAAGAUCAUCUACAAACCCUGUCUCCUGACAAACAUUCCCGGAGAGGGCACAGUCUCUACCCACCUUCCAGUUGACUACCCCUGGUGCAGACACCUUGAACCAAACUCCCUCUGUUUUUCAGCCCACGAAUUGGCAUCACAGGUGAGCUGGGAGACUCUGUAAGGCCAUGACGGACAUGGGGAUUAUCAGCAUCCGUCCUGAUCAACCAGGCCUCAUUUCCAGGCCCCACACCUGCUCAGGGCCGGCAGCAGCUGAGCAGAGCUGAAACUUGAGCCCCUAUACUCACAGCUUGCGACAGACGCACCCAGACCUGUGCAGACACAGCUGAUGAACCAGAAACAGUCCCUGGGAAGCCCCAGCAGCCCCAGAGGCUGGCGGCAUGUCUGGCCACAAUUUGGGAAAUAUUACACUUGUGGGACCAGAGACCUUGAGCUCAAAGGGGCUUAGGAUUGCAGCUUGAGACUGGGCGUGGUGGC
rnacentral:lncRNA from 1 species